AUGAUCAGUGAAAUCAGGAAAGGCCAAGAGGCCCAGCUAAUCCACAAAUUGGAUCAUCCACCCCUGAAUAAUCAAGAGUUGCUGGCACAAAAGUUGGUUUCUCUCUUUGAUCAUCAGCACACUCAAAACACACCUACAUUUGCUUCUUGUGGGAGCCCUCUGAAGGAAUCUACUCCACACUGGGGUUUCAUUACCAAAUUCUGGGGAGCUGUUCAUAAUGAAGACGGUGUCGAAGAAAAGAAUGGCCAGGGAGAAGGGGCUAAUGUAUUUGAAAUUCUAAUUCUGAAAGAUGAGAAAAAGGGAAUUAUGAGAGAAUGGUAAUCCUAACGAACAAUAUUGUCUAGAGGCAACUGUUAGACAUGAGUCUAGGUCCCUUUCAUAGGCCGAGUUCUGAGAUUGGAAGUGAAAUCCUUCCCAAAUCUGGAGACCUUCUUGUAUGAGUUGGGAGACGGACAGUCAGACUGCGAUCCUAAAGUCUGGCUCACAGAAGGACUUGGGAGUUGAGCGGAAAGUGUGAAAUCCUACAAUAACUGUAUCAUUGUGCCAGACAGAGCCUCCUUUGUCUCUGUAAGCUAUCUGACUUUCCCAUAGGGUUCCUUUCCCCAAACAUGCCUCAAAUUGUGUUGCUUAAUGAAAAAUGCUGCUCAGGACAAGGUAGUUUUCACCAACGGUCAUACAUGGUGGACAUUCUAGUAAUUCUAGUCCUAUGGGAGAGCAGGCGGGGCUUAGGCAGCUUGGGAAAAUGAGUUCUGAGAGUGGCACCCAGAAAACUGCCCGGCUGGUGGGGCAGAGAGAACGGGUCAUAUGUCAGCCCAUGUCCUCUGCAAGCCUCUCCAAUGCAUCUUGAAAAUGCCACGGCCCCUGAAACCCAUGCAAUUGUUUUGCUUCUGGUCUAAGUAUAAAUCUUUUAAUUGCGUGUCCUAAGCCUUGAGACAUUUAUGUGGAAUUGUUUUGGGGGGAAAAAAAGAAAGGAAGGAAGAAAGGAAGGAAGGAAGAAACUUGCUGGCAGUCAAGCGAUCUGCAUUUCAUUUCAAUUUAGAUAGUUUUGCUAUACAGUUUUUUCCCAAGGUUUCCUGGAUUUCAAUAAUAUAUCUUUCAUCACCAGAUCACCAAAAACUGGUUGUGUUGAGCUGUCCCUGGGGCUUUGGAGUGCAUAUCAGGGAUUACUUUAUAAGUGGGAACUUAUGAAUUGUAUUGGGUUUACAAAUGACUUGUUUUUCUCAGUUUAAUGGUCAAACCAUGAAACCGAUAACUUAUUCCUGGAAGGGUAUGUGUAUGAUAUGUUAAUGGGUCUUUGAGAACGGGAUUAAAAUGCAAUCAACACAUACACACACACACACACACACACACAAACCCCAAGUUUUAAAUAAGACAUUUACUGAGUAGAUAAGCUCUGACUGCUAUGAAAUGCCGGCUUAAAGUGUCCAUUUUAAUGUGUUCAUACAUCUCUCUACCCUUGACCAACUGCUCUAAGAACAUUGGGGCUGACUUUUAAAAACUCUUGGCAGCAAUCAUUUAACCUUGCAACCCGAGCAAGGCAUUGUGCACCUCAGUGGACUUCUGGCAGGAACCAACAGCAAGUGGAGAAGCCCUGAGUUCCAGUGCUCGCUGACCUGUAUGGUGGAAGUUGCUGGGUGCUGAAGGUGGUGGGUACGGAAGGACAAGUGAGCAUGGCACCUUUCUGAGCACAUCAGUUUUAUUUCCCAUCAGUCUGAUGGCUGUAGCAGGGCAGGGGGGGCCGAUAGGUGUGUGUGUGUGUGGGGGGGGGUUUCUACAAAAGACAAGUUUGGAUUUCCACUUUAUAGGAAUGAAGGAUCCUGUGCUUGCCAAAUUGCAAAGGCAUAGAAAUAUCCCAGGCGGGGAGCAGGGAAUUCAGCUGCAGCCUUUGGAGUGGAGGUGAUUUAUGGCAGGCCAAAGGAAGAGUCCAGGUCCACACAGUGAGGGAGGUGGGAAUUGAGAAGGCAGACCAGGAAAAUGUUAAGAAGCACUGAAAUUUUCCUGCCUGUCCAAACGCUGUCUCAGUAUAACAUUGUGGGGAGUUGGGUGUAAAUGAAUCAGAAACAUAUGGAUUAAACUUCCCUCCAUGGGUGGAGGGGGGGAUGGUGGGAAAUAAUGAUUGUCAAACUGGGGGUGUGGAUGAUUCUAAUGUGAACCCACUUGAAGAAUCUCCCAGCUGACUGACAGAUGAACGUUCUCCUCAUGAUGGCCUCUCUCCAGUUUUGGAGGACACUUACACUGAAAGCUGAUAGUCAAAACUGCCUCUUUAAUUCCCAAGAUGAUAGAUGUUCUGGUGUUCACUGCGUAUCCCUUCCUGUACCCUCCACCUCCAAGGCCACCUCCAAACUGUAAGUAAGGUCUUUCCAUUGCCUUCCUAGGACACCCCUUGGCUGCCACUGCUCUUCCCCUUUCAGGUUUGGUGGCUUUUUAGCCCAGUGAUUUUACUGGUAAUUCCCUUCCCACCCCCACCCCCACAAAGAUAUAGAUUAAGAAUGCGUAUUGUUUAAAGUUGUAGCAUCAUUUCCCUGCCACAUGCAUUCUACGUGUGACAAUUUUGGUUAAUGUUAAAAACAAUAGGGGCACCUGGGUGGCUGGGGCACCUGAAUAACUCAAUGGUUGGGCCUCUGCCAUCGGCCCAGGGCAUGAUCCCGGGGUCCUUGGAUCAGUCCCACAUUGGACUCCCUGCAUGGAGCCUGCUUCUCCCUUUGCCUGUGUCUCUGCCUCUCUCUCUGUGUCUCUCAUGAAUAAAUAAAUAAAAUCAUUUUAAAAGAAUUAAAAAAUUUCAUUUGGAGAGUUUGUAGUUCUGUGACAAGUUGCUGGGUCACUGGAGUGAUUCUUGGGUUGAGGUGCCUUUGAGGGAAGGUUAGAGGAACGAGAGACAGCAUUACAAAGGAGUCUCCUGAAAGUAAUCUGAAUCUGAAACUGGAUAUAGCUGUGUGGAUUCUACACGGGCAGGAAAUAAUCAUCAUAACAUUUUUGGGCUGCUGACAAUGCUCUGGGCACUAUCCUAAGAUUUCAACGCAUCCUUUUGAGAGUAAUUGUGGGUGGGGGAGUGUAUGAUACCCAUUUUACAGUUGGGAAAACUGAACCGCAGAGAUGUCAAUCACAUAUUUAUGUUUGCAAAUCUAGUAGUACACAGGAGGACUGAGGUGAGACUCCCCAGCAACAUUUAAGAGAGUGCCCAAGAACUCAGUAAUCC
rnacentral:lncRNA from 1 species